CCUACGGGAGGCAGCAGUGGGGAAUUUUGGACAAUGGGCGCAAGCCUGAUCCAGCAAUGCCGCGUGCAGGAUGAAGGCCUUCGGGUUGUAAACUGCUUUUGUACGGAACGAAACGGUGAGCUCUAAUAAAGUUUGCUAAUGACGGUACCGUAAGAAUAAGCACCGGCUAACUACGUGCCAGCAGCCGCGGUAAUACGUAGGGUGCGAGCGUUAAUCGGAAUUACUGGGCGUAAAGCGUGCGCAGGCGGUUAUAUAAGACAGAUGUGAAAUCCCCGGGCUCAACCUGGGACCUGCAUUUGUGACUGUAUAGCUAGAGUACGGUAGAGGGGGAUGGAAUUCCGCGUGUAGCAGUGAAAUGCGUAGAUAUGCGGAGGAACACCGAUGGCGAAGGCAAUCCCCUGGACCUGUACUGACGCUCAUGCACGAAAGCGUGGGGAGCAAACAGGAUUAGAUACCCUGGUAGUCCACGCCCUAAACGAUGUCAACUGGUUGUUGGGUCUUCACUGACUCAGUAACGAAGCUAACGCGUGAAGUUGACCGCCUGGGGAGGACGGCGCGAGUAGAGAGUAGUAGAGUAGAGNGNGAGAGNGCGAGGACGACGACGAGGGAGGAGG
rnacentral:rRNA from 1 species